UACAUGGGGUGCAAACGUUGCUCGGAAUUAUUGGGCGUAAAGCGCGCGUAGGCGGUUACUCAAGUCGGAUGUGAAAGCCCUCGGCUUAACUGAGGAAGUGCACCCGAAACUGAGUAGCUAGAGUACUAAAGAGGGUCGCGGAAUUCCCGGUGUAGAGGUGAAAUUCGUAGAUAUCGGGAGGAACACCGGUGGCGAAGGCGGCGACCUGGGCCAAUAUUGACGCUGAGGUGCGAAAAGCGUGGGGAGCAAACAGG
rnacentral:rRNA from 1 species